AUGGCAGGUUUACCACUGUGCCCAGAGAACAAGACCGGUUAGGCACAGAUCUGGAAGCCUGGGGGAGAAGCAAAGCAGGAGGGAGGGGGAGGCAGGGAGAGGUCAGAAAGGCAGUUUCCUGAGAGGUGAAUUAUCAGAGGGACCACCAUGGGCCGGGCAAGCACCUCAGCCGGGGAGUAAUGGAGUUAGGGAACAAGGCCCAGGCAGAGCCCCAGAGAGCAGUGGGAGCCGCUUAAUCUGCCCCCAGGAAGUGCAGGCUGGGGACAAGCAGGCAGGAGGCAGCAGGCCCAUUCCUCAGCAGCUAAUGCCCCCAGCCUAACACGAUUACCCCUUCCUUCUCCCUCAGCCCAGGCAAGGGGAGGUUGCAUGGAGGGCAAGCAUGCCCCGCAGCGGGGGAGGGUGGGCACCGGCUGGAAAUCCAAUCAGGAGCCCCUCUUCAGGAUUAGCCCGAGCUACCCAUUUGAGCUGGACCGGCUUGCAAAGAGGCUGGCUUUGGACUGGGAACGAGAUGCUGCUGGGGCCCUGUGAAGCCCGGGUCCCUGGCCAGCGCCUCCCUGGGAGCCUGUGGGACUAGACCUGGGCGACUCCCACCCCUCGCUGAGCCCCGAUCUCCCCGGCCAGCAGCAUCUGAAGACAGUUGCUGGUCUGCAGUUCCACCUGGGGCUGGCCCCCUAUCGCCGCUUCUCGUUCCCCACCGCACAGCCUCUCAGCUGCCCUCUCUGCCCCACAUGGAUAUAAAUGGAGGCUUCGGCUGCCUUUAAAUAGUCCGAUCUAUCAGAGGGGCACACGCCGCCCAUAAAUCUGCCAGGGCUGAUGGCUCCCUAAGUGGACUGAUAGGAGCUAUUUCCGGCAAGGUGUUCAGUUACUCUGCCCCUCCCGCCCCUCCCCUAGCUCGCCCUUCCCCAGGGGCAAGGGACCCUUUUUGUCAUCUGGUAAUUGGCAUUUUUUCACUUGCACUUGGUCCUACAGAGGGAGUGCAGCGCCCAGCCUGGGCCCUAACCGGAUUAGCAUUGGCUUUCAGAGGAGGCCCCUCUGGAGUCAACCUUCCAGUUCAAGAGAUCAAGAUCGAGCUGUUGGCUCAACAAGGAAGGGGGUUGAGGUGGGAGGUGGGCACCCAGGGGAGCCGGGACUAAAUGCGGAGGGCCGGGGGUGGUGGGGGGAGGAGUGGUGUGUGAAUGAAGUUCUCAGCUCCUCUCUGGCUGGACCUGCCUGAUUCCAGGGCCCUUGCUUGGGGAGCAGGGAAGAGACGAGAAUAUCGGCUCUGGAGUUAGGGUCUCCAUUCCAGCUGUCAGAGUCCCACCCCCUCCCCAUCGGUUGCCUUGGGCUAGCGCUGAGCGUGCCUUUCCCACAAAUGGCCUGGUAAUGAAUACAGGAUAGGAGAGUGAGAUGGGCCAGCGCUUCUGCGUGGUAUGGAUCUGAAACAGAAGCGGGAGAAGCCUCAGACCAGCUGCUGGACAAAGGGUCUGGGGCAGUGGUACAUCCGUUGCCCUGAUUUGGAGGGCAGCUGCUAAUGGAUAGAUUUCUGUGAGGGAGGGAGAGGAAGCCUCUGGAGGCUGGACCCUGCUUGGGGAGACACAGAGAUGCCCUUGGAGGUCACCCCAGUGACCCCUGGUCAAGAGGUCACAAUAGCCACUCUGAGGUCAUCACUGACAAGGCUCCAUUUUCAGCCCGUGUUCCAUCCCCCUGCUGUUUUCAGAGAGCAGAAAGCUAAGCGAGCCGGUUAUAUAGGCCCAGGUCCUGCCCCUGCCAAGGACUCCUACAAUAGUCCUGAGUAGCCAGAGAUGGCACAGGGCAUAGAAAACUGAUGGGGAAUUAUUUCUGGAGUGUGUGCAUCAGGCACUUCUCUCAUGGAAUCUCGGUUCUUAGGAAUGGGCUGGAACUGAUGGCUGUGCAGCCUUCUUGUGCUGGUGACGGAAGGCUGGGAAAUUGGCCAGGCCAAGUUCUGCCCUCAGGAGCUCACAUGCAGUAGGAGACGCAGACAUGUGACAGGUGAUGCGACCCAGCCUGCGAGGUGCUGUGCGAGCCCAGAGGCUCCUGCUGGAACCAGGCUGGGGCCCAGUCUCACUCCGAGGCGCUGAACUCCACUGCGCUUCUGACUCGUCCUGUCUGUUUGAUCCUCGGACUGCUCAGGUUCAACUUGUCCACAGUUGAACCUUGUCAUCACUCCUGCAAGUCCCCUCAGUGUCCCCAGCUCAGUGGCAGGCCCCAGGCUGCCUUUCUCCCUCAACCUGCAUGUCCUGUUAUAUGGUGCAUCACCAUGUCCCCCCAUGUACCUCUUGGCUGAGAAUCCUCCUGGGGCACUUGCUGCAGUGUCCACCUCUCCCCACCUCUCUGCCCUGGCCCCCACACCUACUCUGCUGCAACCACACUGGCCAGGUGCCAGUUCCCCUAACAUUGCAGUAAGACAAUAAACACACACUAUGAACUA